rnacentral:lncRNA from 1 species
CUGGUCUGUAUUUGAGGACGAGACUGAGGGCUGUUAAUCCACCGAACGCAAGGGCUCAGAACAAGCAAGCGCUGCCUUUCGUCUUUCUUUGUAACUCACUCGGUACAAGCAAAUGUCGUCUCCUCAGUGGUUCUUUGAAGCUUACUAAGGCGGAGGCUGCCAGUGUCGGUGCCUGUGGAAUUCCCAGCAGUGAGGUUUAGUUCCGUCAACACAGGAUCACAGUGGGGGAGAAAAGGAAGAUGUCUGCGUCCAGGGCCAGCUAAGUUCUGCUGAGCAGGCCUGUCCACGCUGUUCCUUGCACAGUGAGACUGGGCUUGGACUGUACAAGACUUGAGUCCUAGGCCUGGGUGUAUUUGCACUUUGGGGCCCUGUUGCUAACCAUCUUGUGAGUGCCAAUGUGUAAUUCAGUAAAGACUACAUGGAAACAAACAAACUCGGUCCUUAAAACCCCAGAAAGCUGUGGGGAAGUGUUGGCACAGUGAUGGCCUGGGUCACGGUGUAGUGUCGUCAUAGGCCAUCACUGUGCCAGGGCAAGCACACAAGAAGGCUGUUCUCCACAGUUGGGUGAUUAAUGUUACUUCCACAAAAUAUGUGAAUUUGCUGCUUCUGAGAGGCAAUGUGAAAGAGGAAGUAUUACUUUUUAUGUACAGAGUUAUUUAUUUAUAGAAAUUUUGGUACAGUGUACAUUGAAAACAUGUAAAAUAUUGAAGUGUCUAACAAAUGGCAUUACAGUGUCUUUAAUAAAGGUUCAUUUAUAAAUACU